AUUGAACGCUGGCGGCAGGCCUAACACAUGCAAGUCGAACGGUAACAGGAAGCAGCUUGCUGCUUCGCUGACGAGUGGCGGACGGGUGAGUAAUGUCUGGGAAGCUGCCUGAUGGAGGGGGAUAACUACUGGAAACGGUAGCUAAUACCGCAUAAUGUCGCAGGACCAAAGAGGGGGACCUUCGGGCCUCUUGCCAUCGGAUGUGCCCAGAUGGGAUUAGCUUGUUGGUGGGGUAACGGCUCACCAAGGCGACGAACCCUAGCUGGUCUGAGAGGAUGACCAGCCACACUGGAACUGAGACACGGUCCAGACUCCUACGGGAGGCAGCAGUGGGGAAUAUUGCACAAAGGGCGCAAGCCUGAUGCAGCCAUGCCGCGUGUAUGAAGAAGGCCUUCGGGUUGUAAAGUACUUUCAGCGGGGAGGAAGGGAGUAAAGUUAAUACCUUUGCUCAUUGACGUUACCCGCAGAAGAAGCACCGGCUAACUCCGUG
rnacentral:rRNA from 1 species